rnacentral:rRNA from 1 species
AACAAACGCUGGCGGCGUGCCUAAUACAUGCAAGUCGAACGGGGAAAGCUUUCGGGUGAGUACUAGUGGCGCACGGGUGAGUAACGCGUGGAUAAUCUGCCUUAGAGUGGGGGAUAACUAGUCGAAAGAUUAGCUAAUACCGCAUAAGACCACAAGAACUGCGGUUCAAGGGGUCAAAGGUUUUUCGCUCUAAGAUGAGUCCGCGUAAGAUUAGCUAGUUGGGGAGGUAAUGGCUCACCAAGGCGACGAUCUUUAACUGGUCUGAGAGGAUGAUCAGUCACACUGGAACUGAGACACGGUCCAGACGCCUACGGGAGGCAGCGGUAGGGAAUAUUGCACAAUGGAGGAAACUCUGAUGCAGCGACGCCGCGUGAGUGAUGAAGGCCUUCGGGUCGUAAAGCUCUGUCGCAAGGGAAUAACACAAUGAAUGUACCUUGCAAGAAAGGAUCGGCUAACUUCGUGCCAGCAGCCGCGGUAACAC